GUAAGUUUGAUACUGAGUAGACCCCUUUCUUGGAUUUUUAACUUUAGAGCAGAAUUUUAUUUUGUAUCAUGCACAAUUUGAGCUCAAUUCCACUUCAAAAAAUAGGGCUUCGGAGUGGCCAAAGCUUUACAUUUGAUCGAUUGAAAAAGGUUAUGGUUUAUGAAAUUUUCCGAAAACGAAAUGUAUUAGACAUUGAUUCUACUUUCUGUGGCUUUGAAAAUUUUGCGACUGUCUAUGAAAUGUAUGGGAAAGUCGGGUUUUUCUCAAAAAAGGUAUGACACCUGAUCCUGACGUUUCAUUCCUUUCUAAGAUAUUCACCCUUAUUCUUGUUUACGGCCGUAUUGCUUUCGUACGAAAGCAGCAGCGGCGUACGAAUGCGAUACGAACACAUACGAAUCCGAUUCGUUCUAACCAAUUCGAGCUUUCGAACAUCAUUGCUUUCGUACGAACGUGUCAUUCUUGUUUACGUACGUAUGCGUAUCCGUAUUCUUUUUGUUCUCGUUCGCAAACGUCAGUCAAAAGUUGCGAAGCGCUGUACGCAAUGAGCAUAAAACUCAUAAUAAAACUUUAUACUCAUUGCGCUGUACGUAUCGCUUUACGAAUCGCCGGCGCCGGUAGUUUUUUCUCGUUUUUCUGCUGUUUUGUAAAUUGUUUUUUUUUUUUUUUUUUUUUUUGUUAAAUCGAAUAAGCCGAAGAAGAUUUGUUUUUUAGUGAACUGUUGAAUAAAAAACUUUUGUGCAACUCGAUUUGCUAAAAUGAAAAGGCAAUCGAAAGUUGUGAAUCGCCAUCGCCGCGGGUUGUUUUGGUUGUUUCGUGUGAAGCAAAUCGGAUAAAUUGGACAAAGUCUUUUCUAGUGAAGUGUUGAAUGAUGAAAAAAUUUGCUGAAAUCGUUGCCGGAUAUUUGAAUCGUUUUGUUAGUGCUAUCAGCAAUAUCCUUUAAGCCAGUAAACUUAGUUGAAACGUCAUACUAGAUUAUUCCCCCACGAAAACGGCGAAUGUUUAUACGUUUAACCCAACGAACAAGCAAAGUUGUUGCAUCACUGAUUUACGAUGGCUUAUUAAAAUUUACAAGGCAGGUCUAAUAAGCAAAAAGACCUAUUUCAGUGAUCAGGAUGCAGGACCGUUGGCGACACCGAAAUUAUUACAAAAAGAUCCAGCACUGAUUGAAAUACCUCCAAGUACGUCGAUCACACCAAUAUCAACGUUUUAUGGGGACCAUUGCCGAAGGAGCUGAUUAUAGCGGAAUGUACCGCUAAUUGUUACAAUUCUCAAAAAAUUGUGAGGAUAUUCCGGCUUGUUUGGUUUGCUGACGAAACCUGCCAUUCGUUUGUUGGGUGUUGACUGGUGGCGCAUUUCAGACAGACAGGGCUUUGAUUUUGAUAAGGAUACAAAAUAAUUACAGACGGUGAAAAACAGUAUGCCAUCUAACGUGCCACCCACCAUGCCAAUCACAGUUUGUUCAUAUUCAUAAAAGGACCACCACCCAUGAACGGCAUUGUCGAAGACAAUUUUUUAAAAUAACGACUUUUACGACUUGGUUACCAAUCAAAUUGAAAAUCGUGGAACAAUUUUAUCGAUAACAGUGGUGGUGGCGGCUUUGGUAGUGGUCGGCGCCACUAAAGCAACUGGAUGAACAAUUAUCGUUGAGGCCUCCGAAGUAGCAACUACCGGCCACUAUGGCUAUCAACCAUUAUUCUGCUUGUUAUAGAGCAUAUUUUUCAUAGAGCAUAAUAUAACAGCGCUUAGUAUAUAAGAUGAACUAUGCCAAAUGAGCUAACGUCGAAUAUCGACCAUUCUUGGUUUAAAUUAAACUUUACUCACGUUUGAAUAACUUAAAAAAAGCUCAUGUGUCAUUUUUGACUAACAAAAUUCUUAAUAA